GUGGACAAAAAGGCAUUGCAGAAAUAAAGUAUGAUCUGAUCUCAGAAGCUAAGGAGGGUCGGACUUGGUUAGUACUUGGAUGGGAGACCACCUAGGAAGACCAGGUGCUGUCAGCA
rnacentral:rRNA from 1 species